UAGGGAAUCUUCGGCAUUGGACGAAAGUCUGACCGAGCAACGCCGCGUGAGCGAAGAAGGCCUUCGGGUCGUAAAGCUCUGUUGUUAGAGAAGAACAUGGGUGAGAGUAACUGUUCACCCCUUGACGGUAUCUAACCAGAAAGCCACGGCUAACUACGUGCCAGCAGCCGCGGUAAUACGUAGGUGGCAAGCGUUGUCCGGAAUUAUUGGGCGUAAAGCGCGCGCAGGCGGUCUCUUAAGUCUGAUGUGAAAGCCCCCGGCUCAACCGGGGAGGGUCAGUGGAAACUGGGAGACUUGAGGACAGAAGAGGAGAGUGGAAUUCCAGGUGUAGCGGUGAAAUGCGUAGAUAUUUGGAGGAACACCAGUGGCGAAGGCGGCUCUCUGGUCUGUUACUGACGCUGAGGCGCGAAAGCGUGGGGAGCAAACAG
rnacentral:rRNA from 1 species